UACGUAGGUGGCAAGCGUUGUUCGGAUUCACUGGGCGUAAAGGGUGCGUAGGCGGUCGGGUAAGUCUGAUGUGAAAUCUCACAGCUUAACUGUGAAACUGCAUUGGAUACUAUUCGGCUUGAGAGUUGGAGGGGAGACUGGAAUACUUGGUGUAGCAGUGAAAUGCGUAGAUAUCAAGUGGAACACCAGUGGCGAAGGCGAGUCUCUGGACAUUUCCUGACGCUGAGGCACGAAAGCCAGGGGAGCAAACGGG
rnacentral:rRNA from 1 species